rnacentral:rRNA from 1 species
CUAAUACAUGCAAGUCGAGCGAACGGACGAGAAGCUUGCUUCUCUGAUGUUAGCGGCGGACGGGUGAGUAACACGUGGAUAACCUACCUAUAAGACUGGGAUAACUUCGGGAAACCGGAGCUAAUACCGGAUAAUAUUUUGAACCGCAUGGUUCAAAAGUGAAAGACGGUCUUGCUGUCACUUAUAGAUGGAUCCGCGCUGCAUUAGCUAGUUGGUAAGGUAACGGCUUACCAAGGCAACGAUGCAUAGCCGACCUGAGAGGGUGAUCGGCCACACUGGAACUGAGACACGGUCCAGACUCCUACGGGAGGCAGCAGUAGGGAAUCUUCCGCAAUGGGCGAAAGCCUGACGGAGCAACGCCGCGUGAGUGAUGAAGGUCUUCGGAUCGUAAAACUCUGUUAUUAGGGAAGAACAUAUGUGUAAGUAACUGUGCACAUCUUGACGGUACCUAAUCAGAAAGCCACGGCUAACUACGUGCCAGCAGCCGCGGUAAUACGUAGGUGGCAAGCGUUAUCCGGAAUUAUUGGGCGUAAAGCGCGCGUAGGCGGUUUUUUAAGUCUGAUGUGAAAGCCCACGGCUCAACCGUGGAGGGUCAUUGGAAACUGGAAAACUUGAGUGCAGAAGAGGAAAGUGGAAUUCCAUGUGUAGCGGUGAAAUGCGCAGAGAUAUGGAGGAACACCAGUGGCGAAGGCGACUUUCUGGUCUGUAACUGACGCUGAUGUGCGAAAGCGUGGGGAUCAAACAGGAUUAGAUACCCUGGUAGUCCACGCCGUAAACGAUGAGUGCUAAGUGUUAGGGGGUUUCCGCCCCUUAGUGCUGCAGCUAACGCAUUAAGCACUCCGCCUGGGGAGUACGACCGCAAGGUUGAAACUCAAAGGAAUUGACGGC